GGCUUCGUAGCUCAGCUCGUAGAUCACUUGCCGUGUCAAGGCACGCUGUUCUUCUCGCUGGUUCGAAUCCAGCCGAAGUUC